rnacentral:rRNA from 1 species
CCCUUAGACGUUCUGGGCCGCACGCGCGCUACACUGACCAGUGCAACAAGCAUCCGUCCUUGGCCGACAGGCCCGGGCAAUCUUUGAACGCUGGUCGUGAUGGGGAUAGACUUUUGCAAUUUUUGGUCUUCAACGAGGAAUUCCUAGUAAACGCAAGUCAUCAACUUGCAUUGAUUACGUCCCUGCCCUUUGUACACACCGCCCGUCGCACCUACCGAUUGAAUGGUCCGGUGAAGCCUCCGGAUUGGCGCGCACCCCGGUGCCGCCGAGAAGUUGGCUAAACCUUACCAUUUAGAGGAAGGUGAANUCGUAACA